UUGUAUAUGAUGAAUAAAAAAAAAUUAUUUAACUUUCGUUCUUCUGCAUCUUUUGAAGUGAAGAUAAAUAUUAUAUCUGAUACAAA
rnacentral:snoRNA from 1 species